rnacentral:rRNA from 1 species
AUGCCAAACAGGUCAAUUAUGACUCGCAGGCCGAGCUCUCAAAAGAUCCUCCAAAAAAAGGCCGGGCUCUCAAAAAAUAAAGAAUUGGGACUCUUGCGCGCCGACAUGUGCGUGCCACCGGUGUUUUCAUGCGCUUGCGCGCCGAGAGCAUAUUGGUGCAUGUUCGAAAUUCAUGCUACCUUUUCAUCCCCAAUCUGUCGUCCCUCCCCCACCUCUGGAAUCUCGAUUCCUACUCCAGUUCCCCCAAAUCCCCCUCCUGUACUCCGUGUACUCAAGCGCACUAUCAUGUCGCCGGUCAACACGGAUCUCUGA